AGACACUGGUAAAGACCCUUCAGGCUCUUCUCUCUCAGGAAUUGAUUGUAAGAACAAGAGCCCAUUAUACAGCAGAGGAUGCAGCAAGCAGUUGAUGAAGUAAAGACAAAAUGAUCGGAAGACAUGCAGAAAGUAUUAAUGGACUCUAGCAGACAUAAUUAUUAGGAAAUCACUGAAAGAAGUUGGUACUCAAUCAAACUCAAAAGAAAAUUGUUAGAAUUGUGAUACGGAGACAAUGUCGUCUGGUGGUGGUAGUAAAGCAAGAUAUUGUGGUACUUAUUCCUCUUAAAUGUCAUCUCUUUCAAUAACAAUAACAUUGCUAAUGAUAGUAACCUGACACAAUAGGAAGAGGUGUAGCUAUUAUCAACAAAUCAGGCAGUAGAGAUCACAUUUCAAUAAGCCAUCAUCGUACAUACUUGACAUUCAUAUUUCUUUUAUAAUAAUUGUUUAUAUUCAUUUGUUGUGUUAUUGUUUGUUUUCUCUUUACUCAUUCACUAUUGUCACCAUUAAAUCAUCUCAGUCUCUUU